rnacentral:rRNA from 1 species
ACGCUGGCGGCGCGUCUUAAGCAUGCAAGUCGGACGGCAAGGGUUGUGCUUGCACAACUCCUAGAGUGGCGGACUGGUGAGUAACGCGUGGGUGACCUGCCCUCGAGAUGGGGAUAGCCAUUAGAAAUAGUGGAUAAUACCGAAUACGCUCAUGACCCUGUGGGAUAUGAGGAAACAGGCUACGGCUGGCUCGAGGAUGGGCCCGCGUCCCAUUAGCUAGUUGGUGAGGUAACGGCCCACCAAGGCGACGAUGGGUAUCCGGCCUGAGAGGGUGUACGGACACAUUGGGACUGAGAUACGGCCCAAACUCCUACGGGAGGCAGCAGCUAAGAAUAUUCCGCAAUGGACGAAAGUCUGACGGAGCGACGCCGCGUGGAUGAAGAAAAGGCCGGAAGGUUGUAAAAUCCUUUUGCUGAUGAAGAAUAAGUGUGGUAGGGAAUGACCGCAUGAUGACAUUAGUCGGUGAAUAAGCCCCGGCUAACUACGUGCCAGCCGCUGC